CACAAGGAUCAUUGAGUCCAACCCUUAUCCUGCAGAGGACCAUCCCUGAGCAUCACACCAUGUGCCUGACUGUGUCGUCCAAAAGCUUCUUGAACUCUGUCAGGCUUGGUGCUGUGGCCAUUUCUUUGAGGAGCCUGUUCCAGUGCCCAAUCACCCUCUGGUUUGGCUUUUGAUGAUCAAGAUGACAAAAUAAUCACACAAACACUGUAACUAAAAGCAAUGAAUAUUACUGAAGACUAUGCUGAAGCUUACUGACAUAAUUUCUGAACAAUAGUAAAGUGAGAAGAAUCCAUUCUGAUCUAAUGUCAGUUAUGUGAA